rnacentral:tRNA from 1 species
GCCCAGGUGGCGGAAUUGGUAGACGCGCAUGGUUGAGGGCCAUGUUCCCCAAGGGAGUGCAAGUUCGAUUCUUGUCCUGGGCA